UACGAAGGGGGCUAGCGUUGCUCGGAAUCACUGGGCGUAAAGCGCACGUAGGCGGCUUUCUAAGUCAGGGGUGAAAUCCUGGAGCUCAACUCCAGAACUGCCUUUGAUACUGGAGAGCUUGAGUCCGGAAGAGGUGAGUGGAACUCCGAGUGUAGAGGUGAAAUUCGUAGAUAUUCGGAAAGACACCAGUGGCGAAGGCGGCUACUCCUUGGGAG
rnacentral:rRNA from 1 species